UUAAUUAAUCAGGUUAGCCAUGCUAGUUCAUUAAUCAGGUUAGCCAUGCUAGUUCAUUAAUCAGGUUAGCCAUGCUAGUUCAUUAAUCAGGUUAGUCAUGCUAGUUAAUUAAUCAGGUUAGUCAUGCUAGUUAAUUUUGUGCCUUUAUUUAAUCAGGUUAGUCAUUAUGUUGUGCUAUAAGUUUCCAGUUGAAGUGGCUGCAGACUGACCUGUCGUUCACUCCCUGAGCGAUGAAGCACACAGGAUAGUACCCUCCCUCCUCAUCCUCAGUGGGCGUCCAUCUUAGAAGGUACUCUCCUGGAUCAGUGGUGUUCUCUGUGAUACCGGAAGGUCCACUCACCAACAGCUCUGAAACCCUUAAACACACAGGGAGAAAAAAAUACAGUCAUUUUAAUUUUUUAUUAUGAACCCCAUUAGCUGUUGCUGAAGCAGCAGCUACUAUUCCUGGGGUCACACAAAACAUAAAACAUGACAUUAUACGUUACAUUAAUAGACAAGAAAAGCUCAAG
rnacentral:lncRNA from 1 species